rnacentral:rRNA from 1 species
GACGAACGCUGGCGGCGUGCUUAACACAUGCAAGUCGAACGGAAAGGCCCUGCUUUUGUGGGGUGCUCGAGUGGCGAACGGGUGAGUAACACGUGAGUAACCUGCCCUUGACUUUGGGAUAACUUCAGGAAACUGGGGCUAAUACCGGAUAGGAGCUCCUGCUGCAUGGUGGGGGUUGGAAAGUUUCGGCGGUUGGGGAUGGACUCGCGGCUUAUCAGCUUGUUGGUGGGGUAGUGGCUUACCAAGGCUUUGACGGGUAGCCGGCCUGGGAGGGUGACCGGCCACAUUGGGCCUGAGAUACGGCCCAGACUCCUACGGGAGGCAGCAGUGGGGAAUAUUACGCAGUGGGCGGAAGCCUGAUGCGGCAACGCCGCGUGCGGGAUGACGGCCUUCGAGUUGUAAACCGCUUUCGCCUGUGACGAAGCGUGAGUGACGGUAAUGGGUAAAGAAGCACCGGCUAACUACGUG